AAAUGCCCUUACUUAUUUAUGGGUACUCAGCUGCCCUAUGAUUCCAGCUGGCGAAGUUCCUUCUUCUUCUUACAACAUUAAUCAGACGCAGUGACUUCUUCCUCCAUCAUUCCCUUCUUUACGGUGGAUUCAAGCUUCCUCCACCCUUUUUCCUCAUCUUUAUUCGAUCGACUUCUUAUCUUCACGACCUAUUCUUUCUUUCUCCACCCUUCUUCGUCUUUAUUCUAUCCUCCCUAACUAGAGGAAUUCUCCAUCUCUCCUCACCAUGAAACAUCUUUCUCUCUCCUCUCAAUCAAUUGUUUCAGUUUCAGUAAGGCUACUUCUUUUCCAUCUUUAAUUCUCUUUGAUAUUUCUUUUUUCGAUUUAAUGGCCUUUUUUACUUGAAGAAUACCUUGGAAGAACUACCUCCUUCCAACUUUUUGUCGGGAAGCCGAUGGAGAGCCGUCAGACUUGUGGAAGGAGACGGAUCUUCAAUUCCAUCUGGUACUUCCUUGCUUCUAUGUAUACAGUCAAGAGGAUAAAUCUUCCCGGGAUUCGUCUGUUGUUUGUUCAAGUUAUCCUUCACUUUCAGUCAAGGAUGAACAAGCUUUUAAUGAUAGUAAUGAUCCAAUACAGGAACAAACCUGGGAAGAAACUUGCACUCCCUCGAGUCCUCGACCUCGAUUAAUGGCCCUCUUCUUUGCUGCUUCACUCUUUCGUUCUCCUCCUUUUUUCAGUCGAUUUCAAAGUCGUCGAUUAAAGGGAAAACUCGAAGAUUGUCUCAUGCUGUGGUGACGGUCAAAUGUUUUAUUGGAAUGUAUCUACUCGCCGUGUAAUUCGCAAAUGUCGUGGCCAUGAUAGUGAGAUAAACAAGCUAUGGACGGUUAGAUACAGUAACACAGACACGUUCCUAGAUGUUGAUUAUCGACUGAUUGAAGUUAAAUGCCAAACUUAAUUCUUGUUGUCUUCGCUCCACAAUGUCCCUUUGUCAGGAUUUUAUAGAGCCCUGGCGAGGAACUGGCACUGGUAGAUCAUCUCAAGGGUAUGGCUAUUACCUCGGGUGCUAGACGUGAGCUGAAAUCUCUGUUGUUCACCCUGUUGAUACUUGGCAUUGAAGAAACUGCUAAGAAGCGGCAGCACAUUGGAGAAAUAUUUUAGCUUUCUAAUGUAGCAAUUGUCAAGUUGGAUGAGGAUGCAACAUCUACAUACAUUGUAGAUGACCAUACAUAUGCUUUGGACCGUUUCUAAAGAAAGUGAAAAGUGAAGUAUAUGAUUCAGAACUUUUUUCUGGCGCUCCAAAAAUAUUGAUUUUGCCAUAACAGGCGAGCAUAUGUGCUUACUUUAAGGUACGAUCUUAACAAGAUUUCCUUGUUUGUUUACCUGAUUUCAGUCCCAUAGAAGAUUCAAGGUACUUCAUCGGUCUUCAAGUGUGUCAAUCAAGUUGUUUACCUGGCUUCAGUCCUCAUAUUUCACACAGUUGCUACUUCGUUUUUUUUUUAUUCUCAUUAUGUCUUAGUUAAUUAUAUAUACAAAGUAAUGUCUCCUAGAUUUUAGCCCUUACGUUUUAUACCUACAUCUGUUUGUGUAGAUAGGCUGAAUGUCGGGAUUUCGAGGCUUCUAUGAUAAAGUAUUUAAUGGUUAAAAUCAUAAAUUCAUAAGGCGAGAUAUUGUUGUUGGUUGCUAACUGUAGUGUAACUAGAAAGCGAUCGAGCCUCAGUUGUAAAUAAAAGGUACUGAAAUUUACAGAUACUGCAAUUUUCUUCAUAGCAAGGCAAUAGAGAGAAUGACUGAUGAAUAUUAAGUGUGUUUUGGUCUUGAGAUGAUCAUUAUCCUCCCUUCACCAAUUAUUCUUGCUUUAUUGCUGAAAGCCUAAUACCUUGCCAUUUUCAGGAAUGUUUGUCAUGCUUUGCGAAUCAUGUUUUAGUUUUUUAACGCCAAGAGCUUCCCGCUGAUGGUCCGCCAUAUGAUUUUUUGUGCCAGACAAGUUCAAUUGAGUUCUUCGCAAUAUACCAUUUUGACUUCAAUGAAUGCAAACAUGAAGGUAAUAUACUAGCUAGAUACGGUACUGUUUCAGUUCACUUGUGUAUGUUUAUAUAGUGAAAUUAUUGUCAUUUGUGCUAUUGUCAUGAUGACAUCAACUCGUUGGUGGUAAAUUUACACGUUGCAUAAUCUCAGGACUCAGUCACUCCUAUUUAUCCAGAGGACAGGAAGACUGAGGCUUUGAGUCGCUUGAGUUCGUUAUAUAACGGGAAAUUGAAAAAUAGUAAAAUACCAAUGAAGUUAGAGAUGUGACUUUGAGCAAUGUAGCUGAUAUUAUUCUCGAAAUGGAUGAAAAACCAACUUAGUGAUUGGCAUGAUAUGUUGCUACUGAACAGAAAUGUUGCACUUCCAAGUGAUGUGAAAUCUAUAAAACAAUUUGAAACCUUCUCUUUUGUAUGCGUCAUGCUCUUAGAUUGAACGGGUUCCCUGUUCAUUAGCUGAAAUUGCUUGAAUUGGUAAUCCUUCGAAUGAUGUUUUAUUUAUAUGCGCCAUGUCUUGUUACUUCAAUUUCCAGAUUGGUUGUCUUGUUUGCUGUAGUGAUACCGUGGUAUUACACUUGAAUUGAUCACGGUACAAGAACUUAUCUUGUCUUUUGGAUAUCAAUGCAACAACAAUUUAUGUGAUUAAACUUUUGUCUCAUUUAUAGAACUUGAUUUCUUCGCAAUAGCUAGGAUGCGUGUUUUUUUUACCGGUACUUACAUUUUUUGUCUUCCUGAAAGUCGGAGAGGGGAAGUUUGCACUUGGAACAUAGAAUCCCCAGUUUAGGUGGAAAACAUUCUGAUCUUCUCUUAGAGAUUUUGUUUCCGUUGAAGUCUGAUGUGUGUAUGAUUUACCCUUGAGAAAUAUCAGUAAAGGAGUUUGCAUUGUCUUACAUGCUGCCUUUUCAAUUAAAUUUAUAACAUCUUUGAUUCCUACUGAUUUAGCACUGAGCCUAGAGCUACAUAACCUCAAAAUCAGUAGAAUCUGUAUAAGGAAUUGCAGGACCAGGCUACACCACAAGGACGAAGAUGUCAUUCAUGGAGGCUUAGUUGGGCACUUUAGAAUGUGGGAUUCAACCUGCAUCACCUCCACCGUAGUAAGAAUCUGGAUUCCAAUACCCAUAAUCUUCUUCUCCCACAAAUCUCUCAAGUCGUGGCUGGCGUUGAUGUUGGACACUAAGGAUCUUGUUUUCGGUCGUGCUUUUGAUGAAAGUUCCAUCUUGCAGAAGUCUGUUGUUUAUGUAGAGUCCGACAACCACAAGAUUAACCUUGUGGUGAGAAUAAUAUCACUUGCAUUGUGAUAAUUAAAAAGGCUGGUUUUUAGACUAAUUCAGUGAAAAUGGGAUUGAGAGUGGAUAAUGGCAGCAUGGAUAUCAGAAAAUUAUCGACGCUCCUUUGUUUGGCAAUCAGGAUUAGUUAUUGUAGUGAAGGGAAGGAACGAGAAUUGAUUGAAAUUGAAAACGAAAAGUUUAUAUACCAAAUGUAAUUCUCUUGUUUCAGGCUAGGGGAGUACCUUGAGGUACCUGAGGUAAUGCCCUAUGUGGUAGAGAAAGAACUGAAACAUUUUGAAUAUGAAGACCUUAAAGCAGUCUGUGAGGCAGCAAGUAAGGCCUGGAUCGUGAUCCUGUCAAGCUUUAUUGAUCAGUCUGUGUUAGCUGAGCUCAGAUCAUCCUAUUUGGCUCUCUCAACAUGAUAAUAAUCGACACUAGUAUAUCAUGUCGAGAGAGCCAAAUAGAAUAGUAUAUAGAAAAGAGCUUCAUGGAUGCUCCUGGACACUGAGAAUCUUGCUAGUAGAUUGAUAUGAGUAUUACUAAAGUA